AACACGCUCGCAAUGAAAAAAAAAAAAAAAAAAAAAAAAAAAAAAAAAAAAAAAG
rnacentral:ribozyme from 13 species